AGUUUUAAAUGUCAAACGCAGUGACAAUUUUGGUUCAAUUUGAAAAGUGCUUGCUGCGGCAAUUGACUACCAGCAAAUAAAGUCAACAGGCCAAUCGGUUGUCAGAAACAGAGAGAGCACGAAUUCGUCAAAGGUUUCGCUCACCUCUAUUCCUCAUUCUCAAUUAUUUAUGUCGAUUUAUGUAUAUUUACGAAGUGUUGUUUAUUGUUUUUUUAUCGUCAUAUUGCCAAAAAGUAAAAACUAACGAACAAAUGUAUUUAAUUAGCUGCUAAAUCAGAGGGCGAUGUUUGCACUUGAGACAGUAAAUCAAAGCAGUGGAAAAAAUAAUAAAAUAAGAACUUGAUUAUUCAGAUGGUGGGGAAUGCCGUUAUGCCAUGGAAAAAGUUUACUCAUUUCGUGCGUGCAACCUAACGGUUAUGGUGGCAGAGUCGCCGGUGUAGGUGGUGAGGCGCAAUCAUUUCGCUUGUAGAGUUGCUGAUCGGUUUGCACUCGAAACCAAGCGAAGCAAGCCCACUACGGCGUGCCAUGGCGUGUUGGCAAUUAAAUGGCGUGAAAGCGAUGAGUACACACUUGAGGUGCCGAGACGCGUUUAGACGCACAUUUGCGUAAAGAGUGCAUAACGUGUUGUAAUGUAAGAAGGUUGUAACUCAAUUUAAAAAAUAUGGCUGCCACAAACGUCGCUCUUAAAACUGUUUUAAAUAACAAAGAUUUCCUAAGACACACCAUUGCGUGUGAGUGAGAAGGGAUGAGAAAGUCUAGUAACUGCUUCAGUAUUUAUGGCGAUUUCAAAGCACUCAAAUUCUGGUUUUAUUCUGCGAAUUCAAGUGCCUGUGGUACAAUCGACAGCUUUUUCGACAUACCCGUAGCGUUCAGAAAGAUGUAAGAAGAUGUAAGGAAUUAGACAUGCUCAGGAGAGAUAUUCGCAGGGAGUUGCCAUGCUUACAGCCCAUGUUGACGACAUCUCAGUAUGCUAUAAGCGUUUAGCAACUCUCGGAAAAUCACGCAUUUAGAACCAUAUACAAGGCGACCUUUUCAGCAUGACCAAAGGAUGAUACUGAUAAAACAGAUUUUUUAUUACAAGGAAAUACAAAAUUCCAGCUUAGAUCAAACCAAAGCUGGAAGACGCCUCUUUUUAGCUGAAACCUAGAACUAGGUACUCGGAAAUCGUGUUGGAAAGCAAGUUGUCGUGAAGUCUCUAUGCAAAAGGGUGAGUGAAGAAGGUAUCAGUGGAUCUUCGUUGCGAUUGUAAUACUAUGGAAGCCUACGGUCAAGCUUUCAAGCGACCACAAGUUCUUAAUUUCAUACAGCACAAAGUCUUUGCAUUUACUGGGCGCCUGGUCACACUGGCAUUGAAGGCAAUAAAAACGCUGGACAGCAGAAUAUAUACUAAUUCUCGUGAAACCUACAGUAAAGUACAUUUUGUCACAAAUAUAGAGUUUAAACAAAGUCUUCAUAAUGCUGUCCUCUGCCCCAUCUACAUACUCGUAAAUACAUGUUUUGGAAAUAAAUUUCGGAUGGAGCGAGAAUUCCCAAGAAGCAUAUUAUGGUACCCUUUUGGUCAUUGUGAAUGGUAAAUAAAAGGUCAUGAAAAUAUCAAAAUUAUUAGACGGAUUGAAAUAAACAAACGCCGACCAGACAAAUCGCCAAAGGAUAUUUUUGCAUUGGCAGACAAAAUAGCGCAGAAGAUAGUAUGCAAAAUAAAAAUAAAAAAGUAUGAAACACAAGAAGAUCCCAAAGUUUCUAACUACAUAUACAAAAAUAAUGAGUACCGAGAUA